GUGAUAGCUCAGUUGGUUAGAGCGUGUUGCUGAUAAAAUCAAGGUUGCAGGUUCAAUCCUCGUAAGGGACA